AUUGAACGCUGGCGGCAUGCCUUACACAUGCAAGUCGAACGGUAACAGGUCUUCGGAUGCUGACGAGUGGCGAACGGGUGAGUAAUACAUCGGAACGUGCCUAGUAGUGGGGGAUAACUACUCGAAAGAGUGGCUAAUACCGCACGAGAUCUACGGAUGAAAGCAGGGGAUCGCAAGACCUUGUGCUACUAGAGCGGCCGAUGGCAGAUUAGGUAGUUGGUGGGAUAAAAGCUUACCAAGCCGACGAUCUGUAGCUGGUCUGAGAGGACGAUCAGCCACACUGGGACUGAGACACGGCCCAGACUCCUACGGGAGGCAGCAGUGGGGAAUUUUGGACAAUGGGCGCAAGCCUGAUCCAGCAAUGCCGCGUGCAGGAUGAAGGCCUUCGGGUUGUAAACUGCUUUUGUACGGAACGAGAAGCCCUGGGUUAAUACCCUGGGGUCAUGACGGUACCGUAAGAAUAAGCACCGGCUAACUACGUGCCAGCCGCCGCGGUAA
rnacentral:rRNA from 1 species